GCCGAAUCUAGCUUUUUGAAUAAAACAGAUAUUAAUAAUUGAAAAGCAUGUGAACCAACAUGUAUGGAGACAAAUGAAUGACAGCAAGGAAACUAGAAAGGGUCAAUUGCAGCAGCAAACAAUCAGAGGAAAAUGGACAGAUAUCGUUCCACAACGAACUGUGACGACAGAGAGCACGUCUUUAAAUGAGGAUUCUGCCUGAUGUCCUUUUUCUGCCUGCGGUCUGGUGAAAUGGUAACAACUCACGGGAGAGAGAAAAGAUCAGCGUGGAGAGACUUCAGCCUCCACUGAUGAUGCCCUGAAGGAGAGCCUGUGUGGGAUGCAUACCAAGCAGUGUGAGGCUGCUUUAGAAGCAAGCGGGCCAAAGAAGUCGAGAGGGGUAUCAAACACACCGCUGAAUAUGCAUAUAUAAAUGACCUGUUCGGUAAUCACCAACAAGCAUACAGCAGCUUUUCUGGGGGCUGUUUUGACACGGCUAGGCCACAGCCCCAUUAGUCCCAAAAACACAUCUUUCAAAACAGUGGUUUGAAGGCUUUUCUGUACACAAGAUGUGUUCCGUGAAUAGAAUGCAGUAAUCUAUGCACAGGCAUACAUUUACAGUGUGCAUCUUCAAAA
ensembl:lncRNA